rnacentral:sRNA from 3 species
UGUAUCUGAAGCCUGACGAGGAUGAGAACCUCCGGGGGCAAGAAGUUCGACUCGAGCGCAGCGAGAGAACGUUGCGUCAGCAACGGCCCGCAGGGCGAGCCACGCAGUGGCGAGUCAUCCUCUAUCACCGACCA